rnacentral:rRNA from 1 species
CCUUAGAGUUUGAUCCUGGCUCAGAGCGUUUGCUGGCGGCAGGCUUAACACAUGCAAGUCGAGCGGGCGUAGCAAUACGUCAGCGGCAGACGGGUGAGUAACGCGUGGGAACGUACCUUUUGGUUCGGAACAACACAGGGAAACUUGUGCUAAUACCGGAUAAGCCCUUACGGGGAAAGAUUUAUCGCCGAAAGAUCGGCCCGCGUCUGAUUAGCUAGUUGGUGAGGUAAUGGCUCACCAAGGCGACGAUCAGUAGCUGGUCUGAGAGGAUGAUCAGCCACAUUGGGACUGAGACACGGCCCAAACUCCUACGGGAGGCAGCAGUGGGGAAUAUUGGACAAUGGGGGCAACCCUGAUCCAGCCAUGCCGCGUGAGUGAUGAAGGCCCUAGGGUUGUAAAGCUCUUUUGUGCGGGAAGAUAAUGACGGUACCGCAAGAAUAAGCCCCGGCUAACUUCGUGCCAGCAGCCGCGGUAAUACGAAGGGGGCUAGCGUUGCUCGGAAUCACUGGGCGUAAAGGGUGCGUAGGCGGGUUUUUAAGUCAGGGGUGAAAUCCUGGAGCUCAACUCCAGAACUGCCUUUGAUACUGAAGAUCUUGAGUCCGGGAGAGGUGAGUGGAACUGCGAGUGUAGAGGUGAAAUUCGUAGAUAUUCGCAAGAACACCAGUGGCGAAGGCGGCUCACUGGCCCGGUACUGACGCUGAGGCACGAAAGCGUGGGGAGCAAACAGGAUUAGAUACCCUGGUAGUCCACGCCGUAAACGAU